GGGUACUCGAGCGGCGAACGGGUGAGUAACACGUGAGCAACCUGCCCUAGGCUUUGGGAUAACCCCGGGAAACCGGGGCUAAUACCGAAUAGGACCUCUGACCGCAUGGUUGGUGGUGGAAAGUUUUUCGGCCUGGGAUGGGCUCGCGGCCUAUCAGCUUGUUGGUGGGGUGAUGGCCUACCAAGGCGACGACGGGUAGCCGGCCUGAGAGGGCGACCGGCCACACUGGGACUGAGACACGGCCCAGACUCCUACGGGAGGCAGCAGUGGGGAAUAUUGCACAAUGGGCGGAAGCCUGAUGCAGCGACGCCGCGUGAGGGAUGACGGCCUUCGGGUUGUAAACCUCUUUCAGCAGGGACGAAGCGUAAGUGACGGUACCUGCAGAAGAAGCGCCGGCCAACUACGUGCCAGCAGCCGCGGUAAGACGUAGGGCGCGAGCGUUGUCCGGAUUUAUUGGGCGUAAAGAGCUCGUAGGCGGCUUGUCGCGUCGACUGUGAAAACCCGCAGCUCAACUGCGGGCCUGCAGUCGAUACGGGCAGGCUAGAGUUCGGUAGGGGAGACUGGAAUUCCUGGUGUAGCGGUGAAAUGCGCAGAUAUCAGGAGGAACACCGGUGGCGAAGGCGGGUCUCUGGGCCGAUACUGACGCUGAGGAGCGAAAGCGUGGGGAGCGAACAGGAUUA
rnacentral:rRNA from 1 species